GAUGAACGCUGGCGGCGUGCCUAAUACAUGCAAGUCGAGCGAACAGAUGAGGAGCUUGCUCCUCUGACGUUAGCGGCGGACGGGUGAGUAACACGUGGAUAACCUACCUAUAAGACUGGGAUAACUUCGGGAAACCGGAGCUAAUACCGGAUAAUAUAUUGAACCGCAUGGUUCAAUAGUGAAAGACGGUUUUGCUGUCACUUAUAGAUGGAUCCGCGCCGCAUUAGCUAGUUGGUAAGGUAACGGCUUACCAAGGCAACGAUGCGUAGCCGACCUGAGAGGGUGAUCGGCCACACUGGAACUGAGACACGGUCCAGACUCCUACGGGAGGCAGCAGUAGGGAAUCUUCCGCAAUGGGCGAAAGCCGGACGGAGCAACGCCGCGUGAGUGAUGAAGGUCUUCGGAUCGUAAAACUCUGUUAUUAGGGAAGAACAAAUGUGUAAGUAACUAUGCACGUCUUGACGGUACCUAAUCAGAAGGCCACGGCUAACUACG
rnacentral:rRNA from 1 species